UAGGGAAUCUUCCACAAUGGACGCAAGUCUGAUGGAGCAACGCCGCGUGAGUGAAGAAGGUUUUCGGAUCGUAAAGCUCUGUUGUUGGUGAAGAAGGAUAGAGGCAGUAACUGGUCUUUAUUUGACGGUAAUCAACCAGAAAGUCACGGCUAACUACGUGCCAGCAGCCGCGGUAAUACGUAGGUGGCAAGCGUUGUCCGGAUUUAUUGGGCGUAAAGCGAGCGCAGGCGGAAUGAUAAGUCUGAUGUGAAAGCCCACGGCUCAACCGUGGAACUGCAUCGGAAACUGUCAUUCUUGAGUGCAGAAGAGGAGAGUGGAACUCCAUGUGUAGCGGUGGAAUGCGUAGAUAUAUGGAAGAACACCAGUGGCGAAGGCGGCUCCUCUGGUCUGCAACUGACGCUGAGGCUCGAAAGCAU
rnacentral:rRNA from 1 species